rnacentral:sRNA from 1 species
UACUUAUAUCUUCCUU